AAUAAAUUAGUGGUCCCUACUCACUGUUAGCUACUGACCCCUCUGUAGAUGUGAGCUCAUGCUUUUUGACUUCGAAAACUAUGUUUCCCAUCACCCAGCACCAUACAAUACCUCUCUUAUCCAGCAUUCCACCAUGGAGUCAGUCUAAUAUUUGAUCAACUAUCAGUGGAGGAUGGCAAAGGUUUGGAGAAGUCUGGCUUCCUCCACAUCCUUAGAAACUUCUCAUCUGGUACCUAGAGGUGGUUCUCCCCUUAUUGACUUUGCCUCCAGAUUUACAUUGCAGUCUUCUACUAAGGACAUUAACUUUAGUGUAUAUUAAGUUUGUGUUAUAUAGGUCUGAUGUAAGAGUGACCUCUUAAGGUCCAUCCCUCAGCUCAAGCAGGUCUAUGACAGUCCCCAGGGACAAGUUCUUAUUUAUGUGUUCCAGGUCAUGCUGACACAGACUCCAUGACAGGACACAGAGGUCAGUCAGGUGAACCCGUAGGGAUGGGGGAGGAAGUUGAUUGAGUUGUACAACAGCACAUGAGAUUAGGCAAGAGAGGCCGUUAUCACCUUGUAAACGCACAAGGUCAUUUUUUUUCUUCAGAUCUUAGUCUUUCUUUCUGGAUCAUGCUCUGUCCUACUGUAGGAGGUUGGGUAUCCAUCGAUAAAAAUAUGAACUAUUGCUUCUGUACCAUCCUUUCUGUGAAGUUUAACUUCUGCUACUAAAGAGACACACCAUCUCAGUGUGGCCCUUGAUUUUACACACUGAAAAUAAGGAUUUUCUGGGUUCCAUGUGCAAACGUAGUUCAAGGGGAUAUUGGGUGGGAAUUCUUUUCCCCCAGCUCUUUGGAGUACAUAAAAUUUAGGAUAUGGAAAGCAUUAACUAGGUGGUUUGGGUUUUUUAUAAUGUGUGGCCAACUAGAAUAGGUUAAAGUGGGAGCUGCCAGAGAUAGUGGGGUCCUGUAUACCAAUCUCUCUCAGAGAUGCUGGUGAGGUGAGGAUUCUAAGUGUUCUCAAGUCAUCUACAUAGAUUCCAUAAAUAGCAACUGAGGCUUUUAGAAGCUCUUUUGAAAGACUCGGCAUGUAAAAGUGAAGUGAGGUAUGAUGCAUACUUGUGUGCACGCUGAGGGAAGGGAUCACAGCAUAGAAGAAUCACUCAGCCUAACGGUUAUAUUAUGGUUUGUUUCCAUUUAGUACAACUCAAUGUGAUCGGGGUUGCUGUUUCCACAGGAAAAAUAUCAGCCAGUGAAAAUCUAGACACAUACAACAUUGUAGAAAGACUUAAUAAGAAAUCUUUUCUAUAUAGUAACAUUUUGUGUAUCCAAGAUCAUUGAGAAAUAAGACUUUUUGAAUAAAUAAGGUGACAGAUCACUAACUCAGCCAUUAAAACUAAAAAGAGGAUUUAGAAUUUAGAACAAAGAAUUUAAAACAAAGACCUGUUUAGAUAAUAAACAUUCUAUGAUUGUGUAGCUAAUAACAUCUAGAGGUACUAUUAGGUACAGAGGCAAACAUCAGUAACCCCAGCAUUCUUGAGAAAAAACAGACGCAUGCAGAUUCAAGGCCAGCCCUGUUACAUACGGAGACCCUGAUUUAACAAAACAAACUCUGUUUCCAGCAGUUCAGAAGUAUACUUCUGGAACUGUUUGAGGGAGCAAUGACACGAGUCCACUCCUUUGAAAUGCCUAUCGACUCACUGAAGCAACAAGACUGCACUGAGAACACAGAGGAGACUUCUCCAGUCUGGCAGGAGCCCGCUCACGUUCGGUGGAUGUAAUCACCAGGAUCUCUGAGGCAGACUGCCUUAGUUUCUGCUGUUUGAGGUGGAAUCUUGGCCCUCAGCCAAAUCUGCAUUUUAGUAAUAAUUACGAAAGUUCCUUAAAAAUGAAUGGCAUUCUCUAGAUGGCAAUUUUGGUCUCUGCAAAGUUAGGGAGAUCAUCAGCUUUUCCUUAUUUAGUUUUUUUUUUUCCGGAGCUGGGGAUCGAACCCAGGCCUUGGGCCUGCUAGGCAAGUGCUCUACCGCUGAGCUAAAUCCCCAACCCUCGUCAGCUUUUCCUAAGGACGAGUCAGUAAGCACUGUGUAACCCAGGAGCAUCCUAGACGACUGACCCCGUAGUCCCACAUCCUUUCUGUUUCUAUCUCAGAUAAGAAGGACCAGGAUACGAGAAUUCAGGAAGAAAUGAUGCAGACCCUGAAGUCUGAGAAUGCUCUGCUUUAGAACUGACAAUGAUCUAUGACAUUUCAGUAUCUUAAAUGUACAUAUACAUAUUCUGUAUGUAUAUGUUAAAUAUAUUAUCAUAUGUUAAUGUUAAAUAUAUAUUUAUAUAGUAUAUACAUAAAUUGACACAGUAUAUAUAUAUGUAUAUAUAUGAUAAAUACAUAUUACACUAUAUUUAGAUAUGUAUACACACAUGUAUAGUGUGUAGCUACCUAGUAGCUUAGAGUUUGGAAAUAAAAGGGAAAGUUAGAGCACAGUACAAACAAUGUUCCUACCCUUCUCUCUUCAAAAUACUUAUUCUAUAAAAACACUUUUUUUAAAAAAAGUCAGAUUUUUAAUUUUAAGAAAAAUUUAAAAGAUAUAUUUUCAAAUAAGCCAAAAUGUUAUAAGAAAAAGAAAUGAUGAAAAUUAAAAUAAGCAAGAAAAAUUAUGACAAUGAACAUCAUUUUAUCAUAGAGAGAAAGUUGAUGAUGCAGAAAAUUUGAAUUAAUGUGGUUGAUGACACACUGUGGGAAAUAACUUGAAAUGCAGAAAAUAGCAAAGACAUUAAAGGUGAGAAGGGAAGAGUUGGGGACAACACUGGAACAGCUACAAGCUAUAAAAAGUAGGUAAACUCAAUUGUAAGUAAACUAAGGCAUGAGCAGUUAGAUAUGUAUAGCAAAAAUAUAUAACGGACAUUUAUCUCUAUCUCUAUAUCCCUUAUAUUUAAGAUGAAAGAAAACAAACAAAAUCAGUUCUAAGUUUAUUUAUUUAUUUUUUUAUUUUCAAACCGUGCAAGUAUAGCAUUAUCUUUGUACCAUUAAGUCCAUCUUUCUUCUUCUAAAACUACACACGUAUAAGACUACAAAGAAAACAAAAACAAAAAACCCUGAAACCUUAGAGAAAGGGAGACUGGCCUGGGAAGAGAGAAAGGAGAAGAGACUUAGGCUUAUGGUACACUUGUAAUACUAGCAUUCCCUCUGUGGGGAGGUAAAAAAAAAAGAAAAUCCUUGGGCUUCGCUGGUCAAUGAGCCUAGUCUACUAAUGUGAGCUCAGGGAAAAGAAGAGAUCUCAUCCAAUAAAGUGCAUGUUUCUCAAGAAAUAGCACCUAAGCUGUCCUUUGAUCUCCACGCUCAUACAUCCACCCGCAUGGGUAUUCUCACACAUGCACGCAAAACAAAAUAUAAAAGGCAAAAUUGAUGUUGAAACUUUGAAAAACAAACGAGAAUAGUGCGUUUUGAAGAUCAAUAAUGAAAGUUUAAAAUUGAAAUGAAAACAAAAGUUAAUCUUUCAUUAGAUAAAUAUUUAAAAUAAUGUAGCUGUUUCCAACUGGGUAAGAAUUCAUCACUUGACCAAGAAGAAGGAAAAUGAAAUAUAAGAAGGCAAAUAAUAUUAGUGUCAAAUAAUACCUUUACAUAAAGAAUAUGCAAACAAAAACUUGGUAUCUUGAUACAAACAAUCAGUUACAAUACUAUCGACUAUGCUAACAAACUAUUAUCACAAGGAUCAAUGGGAAAAGAAAUAAAGAAAACCUUGAUCUCUGUAUGCAACAUCCACUCCCGCUGAGCCACAUGGGCUCUAUAGUUCUGUUUCUUAUAAAUAAGUUCUUACAGGAAUUCAUGAAAUAUUUAUAAACACUGACCACAUAUUAGCAAUUACGAACCUCAGGGGUCCUUAAAGAGAAAUUUUAACAACGAUGUUUUAAUUAAAAAUGAUAUACGAUUUUAAAUAACAAUUCUUUUCUUACUGAACACUUUCUGGUUUUGGCAGUUUGGGGUUUAAAUUUUAGCUUUGUCCGGUCUUCUGACUUCACACCACUUAGGAGAGGGGGAGAUAGCUGAGCAGGGAGGACUUCGGGCUGAGAGGUCAUCCCAGGCACGAAGCCCUCCACUCAGAACAGCAGAUCUGGAGUCCCAUGAAAACUACAGAUUUGGGGAGAUAGAAAAGCUGAUAUUUUGAACUGUUAAUAACUUUGGGCACUUGACAAAGAAAACAGUGAAACAACAACAACAACCAAAUACUGUGUUCAGAGAAAAGGAGUAAACACAGAUUUUCCCCCCAAGGUACACACAUACCUAUGAUUUAUUUAAUUACAUUUGUAUCAAUGGUCAUUUAUGAAUAUUUUAUUUCCAUACAUCUUAAAACUUCUCUACAGAAAAUUUAUUUAUAUUUUUUCCCAAACAUUACAUUCUGACCUCAGUUUUACCCUCCCUUCAAUCCUCCCAGAUCCACUUGCCUUCAAAAAAAGGAGCUCCCCACCCCUACCAGAUAUUUCAAGCAAACACAGCAUAACAAGUUACAAUGAAAUUCGGUAUUUAUGGUCAUAUCAUGGCUGGAGCAGGCAACCCAGUAGUAGAAAAAGGGUCCCAAGUACAAGACAAAAAGUCAAAGACAACCUUGCUGACACUGAGGGGCCCCACAAAACCACCAAACUACACACCCAGAGCGUAUAAGCAGAGGACGCAGCACAAUCCCACAUGGGGCCAUGUAAAUUGAAGGCUUUAUUAAAACCAUAAAGGAAGAAGAUGCAAAACUCUUAAGGAAAUAAGCUUGAAAUAGUACAAUUAAAUGAAGGUUUCCUUAAUGUGACAUUAUAUCUAUAAAAAUUGGUUAUAAUGUUAAAAUAAAGCUGGUUGAAGGAAUUAUUAAGAAUGUAUUAAAUGAUUGUUAAAUCCCUGGUCUAGUGCCUAGGUUUUUGUGAUUUCACCAAUAUUUAAUGAUUUCAAAAAUCAAAACCCUACACACACACACACACACACACACACACAGAGCAAGAGAGAGAGAGAGAGAGAGAGAGAGAGAGAGAGAGAGAGAGAGAGAGAGAGAGAGAGAUAUUUAAAUUUAGAAGACUUAGGUGAGAGCUGGGAUGUAUGCAUAAAACACCUUUUCAGGAGUAGAAAUUUAAUAUGAUAAGAAUACCAAAUAAUUCACAAAGUGAGUCUGUCAUGUUUUCUGAUUUUAAAGAUCCUGGCAGAGGUUUUGGGGAUCCGGGAAAGGGACUCUCUAGAGUAAAACUGUUAAGCUCUCUGAUAGGAAGAUGUUCUGAAACUCUGCUGUGUAUGACAGGGUGACUAGACCUGUCUGGCUAGCCUGACAUUCGAAAAAUGCCCAAUGAGAUGAAAAUGAGAAUUCUAAUUGAAUUUAAUUUUAAUUAAAGUUAAAUAUCCACUAGAGAUUAAUGACAACCACGUUGCAGUAAGUCUGCAGCACAGCAUCCCAGAUUCUCAAGAUUAUAUAUAUAUAUAUAUACAUAUAUAUAUAUACACAUUGUCAAAUAUGUGAUAAGAUCACAACAGUGGACACAGUUGGUAGCAGUACAAUAGGAUAGUAGGCAGUAGAAACUCAACUAACAGUAAAGAAACUUCCUCAGAGGGAAGGAUUAAUUAACGGCAGAAGUUGAAAUAAUCACUUAGCCAUUUAGGAAGAAAAAUCAAUUGAGGGUCUUAUCUCAAGCAUUAUUUAAAAAAAUAAAUUUCAGAUUGUCUCUUAAGAAUUAACACAAAGGUAACCACGGGAAGCAAAAAAUGGGUUUUUAGUCAAGCCCGUGGGUAGGAAGUGAUAUUUAGAACAACACAGAGCUGUAAAUAGACACAUAACUACAGAAAAAUAUAAGUAACAAAAGAUCAUGAACCUAAAUACUUAACAUUUCUAUACAAAAUUUCAAAGACAGAAAUAAGGACACAGCAUAAGAAGCAGAUUUGUUGAACACUGAACCAUGUGUAACUGGUUACAUUGCUGACGAUGUCAUUAGGUGUCUCCAUUGUAGCUUGUGUGUGCUCUGCAGAAGAAAUGAAGGAAUGAGGGUUAUGCUUGGGGGUGGGGGACAAGAGCAAUGGAGCCAUUACCAGAACUGUUGUCUAUGGCAACAGGGAGAUACCCUCAAGGACUAGUUCUUUCUCUCCCACUCACAUUAAAUCACCCACUAGCUCCUUAAAGCACCUCCUUGUAACAAACCAAACUGACUGUCCACCACCUCUCUGCCUAGUUCAAGGCCCUCUGGUUUUUACCCAGCAUGCACACCAGCUUGCUUAAUAUCCAGUCCUCCGCUCAGCUAAGCUCUAGCUUGUGUACUUUUAAUUGAUUAAUUUUUUCAGCUUUUUGUAAAGCCAUAAAAAAGUAAAGAAAAUGUUCUCAUACAAUAAAAAGCAUUUAGGAAGAAUGAAUGACAUAUUGUAAUUGUAUUUAUUUAAAGAUUCGAGAAAGCUGUUUAGUGUUAUGCCUUGGCAAAUGUUGGCUAUUCGUUCACUGUAGCUCUGCUAGUAACAUUUUAGUGACCUAAUGAGUGUCUUUAUUUUAUGGCACCCUUUUUUCUCAUCUGUAAAAUAAUAAUGACAAUAAUCUUUUGGGUAGUGGUGUUUUGAUUGCUUUUAUUUAUUUUUUUUGAGAUUGCACAGAAAAUGGAAAGUAACCAUUUUUUCAGAUAAAAUGUUGUUCUAGUGUGUUUCCCCGUUGCUGUGAUAAAAGAGUGAGCCAAGCAACUUAACAGAAGGAAGUGUUCACCUGACUCGAAGUUAUGGCCCCUCAUCAAGUGAAGACAGUGGUAACUCAAGAUAUCGAUUUUUAAGAAACAGAAAAUACAGAAUUUGUCAGAUGCUUAUUCUUGGCUUCCUCACUUCUGGUCACCAGACCCUAUGAAGUCGCAGGCGUAAGUCUGAGAAACAACAAGAUGUGACAUUUGAAGACGUCUCAGCUCAGGUGGAUGUGGACUGCAGUGUCGGAGGGGAGCUAUUUCACACACUUAGAGGAGUAGAGCCUCUGCAGCAGCUUUGGCAAACACCAGCAUUUGAAAAGACAGCCUGAACCGUGAAAGAACUACAAAAAUCAAGUAAAAAAAGUCGAUGAACAUUUACUGUAGUAUCAAACAUUAGUCAUUGAUUUUAUGUACAUUGGUGUUUUGACUGCAUGCAUGUUUAAGGGUGUCAGAUACCCUGGAACAGGAGUUACAGACAGUUGUGAGCUUUCAUGUGGGUGCUGGGAAUUGAACUUGAGUCCUCUGGAAGAGCAGCCAGUGUCCUUAACCACUGAGCCAUAUGCCCAGCCCUCACAGUAUUGAAAUUGAUAGUGACAAUGAACAAAUGCCCUGAGAAACAUUUAAAAAGCCUUGGCCAAUGGUCAAUAUAAACACUGUGGUAAAAUUAUUUGGCUUUGAGUGGACAGUUAUUUUACUCUUAGUGUUCAAAGAAUGCUUUAUAUAAGUUAUAUAAAUUAAGGGAUAGCAGGUCUACACACUGGGAACACUGAAUCAUAUGAACAGGGUUCCUUCCCUACUAACAAACUUGCUCCUCAGAUACUUACCUUCUCAAUGAUAUCAAUACCUGUGAUUGAUGGGCACUCCAUAGAAGGGUAGAGCUAUCAGAUGGGACUUAUAAUAUGAAGGAAUGCAACCACAGUUUGGAGGGGAAAGUAAUUGGAUUACAAACUGGGAUGACACGUUAAAUGGUGGUCUGAAUAUUGGUUAGGGUAGAUGUUGGUUCACAGUGUAAGUCAAAACAAAAAGAACAGGUGAAGUUAUUUCUCAGUUGUACAUGGUCAACAACAUUUACACGCAUACAAAAUUUCCACUGAAUAUCACCUCGCUGUCAUAUUGCUUGGCAAUGUUGAAAAGCUGUGAAAUAAUAAGAACACACAUACUGUUAGACAGUACACAAGUUCACUUUCAUGAAGCUGGUUUUAACGUUAGUGAAUUUAGUCAGGCUCUUCAUUACAGUCUUUGAACAACAGCACGGGAGCAAACAAGCUGUUCACAGUGACCGAAGGCGUUUGUGUCCUCCCCACAAGAGCAGAUUAGCAAUCUGUUUUCCAGAUGUCGGAACUCAUCCACCUCUCUCCCUCCUUUUAUCUAAGAAAGGUCUGAUUUCCAUGCCAAUGUUCCUUGCCUUUCAAAGAGCCUUAGUCUGUUCCUCAUUGCCACACUCAGAAAGGCAACAUGGAAAUCUCCACGAAGAAAUAUAUAAGCCAUAGUGAUCUAACUCUUCCCAACUUCAAGGACUCAGCCUGAAUAGGUACAGUGUUCACUCCCACCGGGCCAGAGAAUGGUGGGCACUCACACUCCAGCAAAUGUAAAACAAGGACAUUCUUGUCAAGCUGCCUAGAAAAACUCUUUAAUAAGCACAACCCGGAAAGCACUCCAGUGGUCCAGGCUUGCAUACAGACCCUGAUCUAAUGAAACACCACAUCAACGGAGCAAUGCUCUGCCUGCCGCCCCCUUUCUUUUUCUCCUUCCAUCGGUUUUUGUAUCAUGGUCUCGCAUUACCUCAUCCCCAACAGUUCUGAGAAAUAUAGAUGACUGUGAGCCACAGAGCCACAAUAAAAUGUAGAAAUAUGGUGAGUUAGGAAGAUGGGAAAAUAUAAAAAAUUGACGUCGGUAAUGGAAAUGUAAUUUUGAAAAUCAUUAGCUUCAAUACUCGAAGGUGUGAAGCUUAAAAAUCAAUGAGGCACUUCAGACAUGAGCUUGAGCAGCUCUAAUGAGAGGCUACUCCUGUGUUUCAACCUCCGCUGUCUCCCUGAUGAGCUGUUUGACUUGUGUCUGCCUCCAAAAGUCUUGAGUGUCCGUUUCUCAUCUAUGAAACCAGGGUAAUCGCUUCUUGUCAUUUCACAUUAUGUGUGUUCCCAUAUGUGAUGGACUUGCAUGAUGGCUGGCACAGUAUUACUAUGCAAAGUUUGUCAGUGUAUUAUGUUGGAAUAAUCAUAGGCUGCCUUAGGAAAGAUGUUAACAAGAACCCCACUGUGGGAGAGGGAGGAGCAGAAGAUAGAUCAAUGUGGGAAAAGCAUGCUUAUUUGAUGUCUUGGAACUUAACUAAAAGGAGGGGAUAACCCUGCUAGAAGUCUCCCUGAAGUUCCAGAGCCUUUAUACAUUGCUCAAUAGGGGGUGAAUGAGAUUCCACGUCUUGUGUGGUUAAAAGGAAUUAGAUAAACUGUUUACCUUGCCAUCUCUAGGGUUAGUCUUUAAAUACUUUAGGAAUUAAAUUGCCCCCCCUACUUAUUUACAAGACUAUAAGAGGAGGGUUUCUAAUUAGAGAGGACACUUGGUUACACUAAAAGAUAAACCUUUGUUCCACAGAAAUAAAAAUAAACUUCCGUUUUAGAUAAGAAGAAGGCUCUCCAGUCUCCUUAGGAAAUACUCAGAGAAAGUGCAAACCGGGAGGAAACACAAACCUAAUGGACUCUGACAGACCAGGCCAGCUGCAGCAGAGAGGAAAGAUUCAGCUGAGCCCUAGGGACAUCUUUUCUGAAAACUCUUGCUUCUGUGUCAUGGAGAUAUGUAAGGACAGCAGUAGCCUGGACCAUACCCAGUAGAAACAAACUAAAGAUGUCUUCCCAUCCUGAAUGUUCAUUGACUCGUGAUUUCUACUCAAUUACAGAGUUCUAGUCAUCGACCUAACCCAGAGGCCACAGAAGGAAAAGGACCAGGAAAGAAUGUUUAACACAUACAAGUCUAAAAACUCAAAAGAGCUUGCAGGCUGGCAGAAACACAGGGGUCCCUUGUUUCAUGAUUCCCAACACUGUUUCACAGAGGCUAAACUGGUUUGAAAAUGUCGAAGGGAUGAAAAAUAUUGCUCAGAAUUCAAAUCACUUGAUGCCGCACCCUUUCAUUUCUUUUAUUGCCUCAAGGGUGGAAAAGGCAAGUUCUCCACGGUCUGGAGACAAGAGGAGGAGCCAACCUAAUGCUAAUGGGAUUUGUGCAGCCAGAGCUCACACCUGAAGACAUUCUUGCACACCUCAGCUUAGGACUUACCUGCAUCUGCAAAAUAGAACAGUAACAUGCAUCCUUGGACAAAGGAGCAUCAUACUCUUCUGACAUACGAUAGCUACUAAACCCUAAAGAACGUAAAACAUCUGGACUACCUCUAGACAGUGGUCAAUGCAGAACUUUCAAUAGAAUUUUGAAAUUCCAUAUCCAAGUACUUUUAGGAGUCACAGAAACAGAAACUAACAAUCAAAAACAGGAAAUACAGAAAAGUUACAUAUUUCCAGAGUUAUUGUGCAUGCUAAUAGAAAAAGAAACACAGUAUAUAAACACCUUCCUUGAAACAAAGGUGACUUCCUGGAGUUCGACAGAACAUCUUCCCAGUACUAAAGCAUCUCAGUAUCAUGAACGAGACUCAGAAGUACUCCAGAUCUGAUUUUAUAAAAUGUCCCUCUUCAAUAUAGAAUGCAGCAGAGUUGAAAAUAACAACUCUCAUCAGCUGAAGAUAAUUUUAAUUAUUGAAUCUACUACAGCAUCUUAUUUAAACUUUUUGUUAAGUUUAUCAGUCUUCAAAAUCUCCAAAAACAAUGCAUGCCACAAAAAAAAACCAAAAAUAUCAACUGUUUUCUUUAGAAAGUCUGAAUUUCUACCACACAAGACUGUCCACAAUGGGUUUGCCAAGGCCAGCUCCCCUUGAGAGAACAGGAGGCAUUUACUCCUAAGAAAGACAGUGAAGCAAAACUCUGUCUUUGCAUACAAGAAGCCUCCUUAAAGACCAGUCCAUAUCGAUAUGAACUGCCAGUAUCUUUACCCUAAAACUGUUUAACCUGCUCUCAAAUACCACAACUUUAUAUAUUUCAAAUGUUAUAUAUCCUAAAACAAUACCAUUAUUGCCAUUAACAUAUGCCACAGUUCAUAUAGUUACUUUUAUUAGAAUGCUUUCUAACUUAGCUUUACUGCAGAAUUUGAAGACAGUAUUUCUUUGUAAUAAUUUAUUUAAAAUCUGAGUAUAUUUCUCUUAACUUGGUUCUUUGGAUCUUUUGUUUGCUUAAUAUCAUAUUUUCCUCUUUCCUUUCUUUCUUCUUUUCUUUCCCUUCUCCCAUAACUACCUGUCUCCCUCUUUCCUUCUCUCUCUCCCCCUUCCCCUCCUCCACCACCAACACCUGCCCCUUCUCUCUCUCCUUUUUGAGACAAGGUUUCAUGUAGCUAGCUUUGAAUUUACUGUAGAGUCAGAGAAUCUCCUGCCGAACUUCAAAUCCGCUCCUGUUAUCUCACAAUCGCUAAGAUUAUGUAACUCAGUACCGCUAGGCUGGAGGAAUCUGGAAUUGAGGUUUUUGGGUGUGCUCACUAGGUAAGAGCUGUACCAAUUUCUUGCCCCUAAUCAUAACUGUGAAUACUGGGGUCAUUUUUAAUGAAAUCCACCUGUAACAUAGAAAAGAGCAAUAAGGACGUUGACUGACCUUUAUUUUUGUUUUUGUUUCUUUCAAUAAAGAACAGCUAACGAGAAACAAGCCCUUUAUCUUUCUCCAUUUGCACUAUACUCAUGUUAGAUAAAGAAACAGCCAUAUCUACAAUUAAUUCCCAAUUUUAAGGCUUCAAACAGAGCAUGGAGUUUUAAUAUUAAAGCCUACUCUCUAACACUACAAACUAACACUUAUUUAUAGCCUGACAUGUCUAAAGCUUCUCUUUUCAGUUUGUCUUUUCAUGCUGCAGAUAACUUGCUAAGGACAUUACAAUAUGGUCUCUCCAAUCAAAAUUAUGAUUGAUCAUGUGUGUGCCUUCAUUAAUAUUUUCUCCCCAUCAGUCUAUAUGGUAUGUAGUAUUGAAUAUACCACAUAGGUAAAAAUUAAUGUAGUAGUGGUAUAUAAUAUGUAUAAAAUUUUUGUUGAAUAUUACUUUUUUCUAGAAGGAGACUAAACAAAGAAAUAAUAUUUUACAAGUUAUGUUCUGUAAUGUGGCUCUAUGAAUACUGUUUAUAGUAUAGUGUAGGUACAAUGUAAUUAUUUCCCAAUAAGUCAUUUGAGAACUAUAAUUACUUUGAUUAAUUUACUUGUAGUAGUUGUAAGCCAUUUUUAUAAUUAAAGAGUAAGUUUAAAAUGAAUAGAUAAAAGCAACUGACUUUAAUUCCAUUUUGUUAACCUUCCUGUCUACAGGAAAAGGUAAACUUUGAAGAGUAAAGAUUGGGUUAACUUCAAAGCCAGAUUGACUCAGGCAAAAUAUGUUAAUUUAAUAAUGUUAUACAUACCAAAAUUCAUAGACUCUGCACUCUCCUUUUCAAGUAACUUAAAAGUUGGCCUAUAUCCAGGUUAUUUUCUUAAUAAUUUCCAAAGACAUCAAAUACCUUUAAAUUUACAUAAAAUUGGGAAAAACUCUAAUUUAGAAGUAAAAGUAAAUGUGUUAAUGUUAAAAGUUUAAGGGAAGCUGGCAAAAAUAAAUUAUAAAAUAAAUGUAUAAAACAUUUAAAUGCAUAUCAUUGCUUUAAACGGGAUAUAAUUUCUGAUGUGACAAGCUAUAAAAGUAAUCUCUUAGAAUUUAGAAAAUCUGAGCUAUAAUAAGCCUGUUUUCAUUUUACUAGAGUUUUGUCUCUAUCCUGUAACAUUUGAUUUAUUGUUCUGUGGCGUGCUUUGCCCUGCAGCAAUAUCGCUAUAUUUUGGAAGCACAAGAGUCACAUUGAUUGGAAGAAGUAGUGGGCUUCAGCAUGAAAUUCUGAAAGUUCUCCUAAGCCUGAGAUAUGCAUUCCUGUACCUUCGCCUGCACUUACAGGACAUAGUCCAUCCCUGUUUCCAGCUUCUGGCAUCUAAAAUUAGCCCCUUAUCUGCUCUUCUCAUCCCCGCCUCAUUCUUCAUUCCAUACUGCUCCCAACCUAGUAUCAGUUUAAAAAGUAAUAUCAAUUUAGACUAGAAUUCCAAAACUGCAAGUUCAGUUUAGGAGCAGAGUGUUUACCUUGGAUGGUCAAUGUCCUAGUUUUACCCUCUAGAUCUGGAGACAAAAUCAAAGCUGGGUUCAAUGUAUCCUUGUUAUACUUCCUUCCUUUUCUAGUCUUAAUCUUCAGAAGCAUGGCAUAACUAUUGAGACUAUGUUCUACGGUGCCUGCUUUGUCUGCCCUUUGUCCUGAGCAGUUCUAGAUUCUUUGCAGUUCCCAAGUGACAGAGGUGUCUUAACUCUUUGAAGCAGACCCCUGACUUCAAGAUAUUGUAUAGAAGGUAUACACUCAGUACCCAAGGAGCAAUGAGCUAAUUAUGACCAUGUAAUGGGGCUUCAGUUAAACACUGAUAGCUAAAGCUUUCAGAUGAGCAUCACAACUAGGGCCGAGAGAUUCCUGAUGUUAUGGGAAGUUGUAAGAUAUCCUGAACUGGUAUUGGGACUAGAAUUUGGAUUUUCUGGACGAGUAGCAAAUACUCUUAACUGCAGAAACAACUCUCUAGUUUUAUUUUAUGUAUUUAUGUUACGUUAUUUUUCCUUCAUGUAUUUAUGCAUUAUGUGCGUAUCACUGUACAUGUGUGGAGGUCAGAGAACAACUUGUGGAAGUCAGUUUUCUUUUUCAAUCCCUUGGGCCCUAGGAAUCAAACUCAGUCAGAAUUUGGUGACAAAUGGCUUCCAUACUGAGCCAGCUCACACACAAUUUUUCUAUUUAUUCUUUUUAAGUAUAACUUUGAUUAUUUCUUACACACCUCAAUCUUGCUUGUUGUUUAUAUAAAUUUAUGAAAAUUGGGUAUUUUGCCCUUUAUAACCUUUACAAAGCAUACAGCUUUAGGGUUACUUAGAACUGGAUUCAAAUCCAAACAUCUUUACAAAACAUCUGGAUAAGUUAAAAAACUGCUGCUAUCAGCCCAACUUUCCACAUGUUUAUUGUGAUAUGAAAACUGUAAUGUAUCAGGAUAUUUUUGGAAGAGAAAAACAUUGAGCCCACCUUUAAUUGGCUGGUGACCAAUGACUUUUAACAGUCACAGAAACAGAAUACCCCUACAUCUUGCCAAUCAAUUUCCAAAAAGCCUUGUCUUUUAUUGCGAUAUCCCUCCUUUUCACUUCACCGUCCUUGAUGUCUGUUUCUCUGUGAUGCUCUGUCCUUGACAAUUCUUCUUAUGCUUGCCAUUUUUCUAGUUGUCUGCUAAAACCAAACUAGGGUUACACUCCAAUGUGGUGGUAGAUUUCAAAUAUGAAAAUCGAGUUCCAGAUUCUAGUGCCUGGUACAAUUAGAAUUGACUGACUACCUGUCCUGUCUCACCUUAGACUCGCUCCUCUCACCCCUUACCAGUCUACAUUCUUUUAAUAUCAUUGCUUCGUUAAGUAGGCCAGACUGGAGUCACAGCACCCAUCCUAUGCCCACACACAAAUCGCUUGUUAAUGUGCUAAAGUUCAGUAUAUAAUUUCAAAACCUCUAGCCAACCUACACUGAUGGCUGCCUGUUUCACUUAGCACCGAUUUAGGGGAAUGGAUGCUCAUUAGUAUUACAUUAUUUAACAGAAUAUGUAUAUUCAUCAGGGCUUUACUUUAUUUUGUAGAAACUGAGGCAUAUAAAAGGUAGGUAAUUUGCUCAAGGUCACAGAGAAAUAAAUUUAUAAGGCAAAUAGCCACUCACCUAUGCUCCCUUGUGUAUGUAUUUCUUUUCACCAGUACCCUUCAACUUAAGAAUGGGAAGGAGAGAAUAGUAAGUACAUUGUGCCUUUCUUCCCAGCUUAUCCUCUCUGCCAAUGAAGGAAGAACAUCCUUGCUAUAGACUAAUCAUUGUAGCCCUUUUGCUGACCAAGGAAGAUCUAACAGUGAUUUACUUUGGAAUGGAAAGAAAAUAAUAUUUGCAUGUAUUUACAAUGUGCUUUUCUCAGAAAGGAUUUAAGGUGUUUCUCUAAGAUAUGUACAUUACUGACAGAUAAAGUAAAUUAAAAUAGGUAAAAUAUCAAAGCAAAUGGAAAGUUGGGGUGGAACAGAACAGUGAGUGCCCACAACCCAGGUCAUGAAUUUCUCAGGAUUUGCCAAGAGCAAGCUUGACGUUUGCUGCUAGCUACACAGCAGCCAAUGAAAACAGAGAAAUGUGAUAAAACACUUGAUUUUUCAACAAAAUGAAAACACAGUGGUUGCUUAGAAGAAGCCUAAACAUUGCCAGUAUUAGGAAUAGAGAGCAAUUACUUCCAUGUCAAUGGCCUGUCUAGAGUGUGUACAGAAAUGAGAAUCAAAAAGCAUGCAUCACAAAACUACACUAAAAUAAGCACAAUGUGUACAAAACAGAGAUUGCACACUCCAGUGCACCAAACAAUAUAGACUCGUUCAUUCACAACCCUUGGGCAGCUUCUUUUUUUUUUUAAGUUGAAUAUUCUUAUUUACAUUUCAAAUGUUAUUCCCUUUCCCGGUUUCCCAUCCAUAACUCCCCUAUCCCAUUGCCCUCUCUUUCUUCUAUAAAGGUCUUCCCCCUUCCCAACCACCCCCCUUUCCCGCCUCUCCACCCUGACAUUCCUCAACGCUGGGCAGUCCAGCCUUGGCAGGUUCUUCAGCAUAGUCUGAUUUGACUAUGGUUUGAAGUCUGACUCUAAUUUCCUAGCCCUGUAAAUCUAGGCAAGAUCUAGUUGGUCUCUUUAAUUACCAACAACAUGGAGACAAGAAAUAUAACUCAUAAGGCAUGGAAGAUUCUAGUCAAUAAACUUAAAAGUGCUUAGAAUACUGUCUAAAAUUAAGCUGCUGUGAUUGUUAUUAAAUAAUUAAUAUAUUUCAAGCUCCAACCUCCUAGGUGACAGGCAAACAUUAGGAGGAGUGAGAGAGGCUAGAAGAGAAAGUGUCCAGUCCUUCCUGUCAUUUAUCCAAUUAAGAAUUUUUUUUCUCUAAAGCUCUUUUAGCACAAUCGGCUGUUUAUUUGUUCUCAAUGUCUCCCUCCCCUCCCCAAGUCCCAGUCUUCAGUGUCCUCUCUGGUAGUAGGUGGAAGGUAGUCAGUGAUGUUAUAGGAGACAUCUCUCUUCUCUCUGAAGUCAUGGCUGCUUCCCAGGACCUACCAUGGGAAGUAAGCACAGACCCCACCUAAUGCUCAGUGAAUUGAUCUACUGGGGGAUGCUGCAGCUUAUCCUGUUAUUGGGAUGGACUGAGUGCUGAGUGUGGAGCAUGAAGGAGAAUUUAGACAUAAUGUCUUUCCUAUCUGGGCAAUUUUAUGUAGAAGGGAAGAAGUUGAGGAAGCUUCUUACCUAAGUACCUAUUUUCCUUCUCCUCUUCACUUUUCAUAAAGUCACCCAUGUUGUAGUCUCCGUGUUUUCAAUUCAAAAGACAAGGAUUUUAUAUUUGUUCUCUCUGUGUUUCUAUUCUUAAAACAAUGAUUCAUAACAGGCAGAAUGGAUGGCAGAGAGGUCAAAGCCUCCCCAGUUUGUGACAAGAGAGAGCAAGCCACUUAACCUUUGACAGAAUACCCUAUCACCGAUGAAUUUUUCUAAGCCUACAUCAGAAACAACAAAUUCUAUAGUUAUCCAGUACUAUGUGGUCCAUAUCUAAAGCUACAUCUUUACAAAUUAACACUUAGUCAGAUGAGGCUCAAGAUGAGGAAAGACAAGUAAUGGAUUAAAAAGAAUAAUAAUGUGUUUGCACGUGUUUAAAGAAUUUGAUAACACACUGGAACAUGGCUUAUUCACAAUUCUGAGUAGAAGACACAAUUUAAUGUGCUGGCUGAUUUAGUAAGAACACCAAAUGGUCUCUCCAAUGUUCAAUUCAAGUUGUUUUUAAACCACUAAAAAGGAUAAACAAAUUAUAUGAAAACCGCCUAAUUCUGAUACAAUCAGCACUGCCACGAAUAAAGUCCAAUAGAGGGUUUCAGAAAUUUUCAUGUUAAAACAAAACAAAAACCAAACCAAACCAAAAACACUUAGAAUAGACUUGCAAGGACCUUGAAAAUAUAGGUUUUAAGUAAACAUAUGGGACCUGUUGUUUUCACAUUUUAAUGUUUCAUUUUUUUAUAUAUUUACAUUAAAAGGGAGUCAUGAAAUCUUCAUACUUUAUGCCCAUCUUUUCUCAUACUUCCUAAAAUAAAAUCUCAAACUUCAUAAAGUAAACAUGUAUUUCAUAUCCAAAGAAUAUCAGGACUUAAAUAAUUCUUAAGGAUAUUAUUUCUUUCCUUUAAUACAGAUAAACAAACAAAAUAUUAAAUAAUACAAAUAUAUCAGCUUAGAUAUGUCACUCACCCAGAAUUCUAUUUCCAGAAUACAGUGACCCUAUAUACUUUCAACAAUUCCACUGAAAAAAUCCUCUGAAAUCAAAAUAAUCAACCAAGAAAUUUUUAAAAUCCUGUGAACAUGACCCUACAUGUUAUAAAACAUUCGUGAGUGGUGAUAAUGAACACCAGACUUCAAUGGUCAUGUGACUUGAAUAUUCGUCCCAUCUUCUCUAUGUCUUACCAUCCUCUGGUCUUGAAGGCUCAGGAGAAAUUCAGGGUCAAUCAUGAUAUCUUCCUUGACUGCUUACUUCCCUAUAUGCAUUCCUCUUUGGCUUACCACCCUUUUUGCUUCUUACCAGAUCUCUGUUCCUUUAAUACACCAAGGAUGUUUAAAUGAGAAAUGUAUGCCAUAGGUUUAUAUAUUUGAAGUUAUUGACUCAAAUUCUUGUAUUUGAAUUCUUGGUCCCCAGUUGAUGGCACUGUCUAGGUAAAUUAAAGAAUCUUAAGGAAGUGGAACCUUGCUAAAGGGAAUGUAUUACCGAUGUGCAGAACUUGAGGUUUUAUAACCCUGUCCCACUUCCAGUUCUCUGUCUCUGUCUCUGUCUCUGUCUCUGUCUCUGUCUCUGUCUCUGCCCGACUUUACCUCUGUCUGUCUUCAUGUCUUCCCUAACAUGGUGGACUCUAUUCAUCUGGAACAUUAUGCCAAAAUAAACCCUUUUCUCCUCUAUGGUUCUCUGGCUACUGGUAUUUUUAUCAUAUAAAACAGAAAAGGAAUCAAUGCAUGCACAUUUCUUCCUAAUUAAAUGUUUUUAAGAUACCCUCUAUAUGGAGAAAACAGAGUUCUGACACCACUUACUAUGUUCCACAACUUUAUAUUCUGCUCACCAUUAUCAUAGUCAAAUCUUAAAACAGAUGAGGCAGCAGGGAUGAGGUGAUUGCUCAGUGGGUAAAGUAUUAGCUAUGCAACCACGAAGCCAUGACUUGGCAAACCAAACACCAGUGCACAGACUGCUCGUUAUGAAGCGGGUCGGUAACACAAGUCCUAGGAAAACAGGCAAACAGCUCCCAGGGGCUCAGUGACCAGUCAUUCCAGCCAAAACAGUGAACUCCAGGUUCACCGACAAGUCCCUGUCCCCAAAAAUUAAAGUCAAGAGCAAUAGAGGAAUCUGCUGGCUGUAGAGGUUAUAAAUCCUAAGGCAGGAUCUACUACAAAUAUAGAUUAAACCAGUCCUAAUGACUUAAUGCUAUGUCCAUAGGUUACUGGAUCUCCCAACCAUUCUUCAGGGAUGCCCUUCUUUGCAGUAGAAGGCAAGUACCACAGAGAUCCAUAAGUGGCCAAGAUACAGAACAUAAGACUGUGGUAUGUUCAGCCAUAAAAUGACAUCUGUAACAGAGAGAGAGAGAGAGAGAGAGAGAGAGAGAGAGAGAGAGAGAGAGAGAGACAUACACAUGGAAACACACACAGAGAAACACACACACACAUACACACACAGAGAGAGAGAGAGAGAGAGAGAGAGAGAGAGAGAAACACACACACAGAAACACAGACACACAGACACAGAAACAGAGAGAGAGACAGACAGGCAGGCAGACAGACAAACAGAGACACAGAGACAGAGACACAGAGACAGAGAGAGAAGGAGGGAAGGAGGGAGAGAGGGAGAAGGGAGAGAAGAAGGGAGGGAGGAAGGAGGGAAAGUAGGCAAAGACAGAAAGAAAGAGAUGGAGAAAGAAACAGGGAGGAAAUAAGAAAAAUAAAUAAAUAUAAAAUAAUAGAACUUCAUUUUAUAUAUGAUACCAUAUCUACAAUUUAGUCUUUCACAAUAGUUCUGUGGAAAUAUGAAACAGUAAUACUGCCUCACCAAAUAGACUACCACCAUUCAUCUAUAAGACCUUUUCGUUCUCUGAUUCAAAUUUUGUCUGCCUCGCAGAGAUGUCUUUGGAGAAAAUUAUAUAUUUAAACACAUACAUGAAAUAUACAUACAUUCAUCUAUAUGUAAAACAUUUUAAAUUUGAACACAGUUCAUAUGUUUCAGCUGUUAAUGUUCUCAAAUCUCUGUUAAAGACCUGCUGUUGAACACACAGACGCUUUCUGAUUCAUCACAAGGGAAGUGGUCACCCUCUCAAUAAGUUGGAUGAAAAUGACUUUUGAAGUCUGAUCUUUCUCUUCCAAGUGAUAUUUUAGAAAGCUUUGAAAAAGCAGGACAUUGAAAGAUUAGUUCUGUUACUGGGUACUUUAAAAAUCUUUACUUAGAAGACAAGAGAAAUGAAGCAAUGUUGAAGCUGUGAUUACUUAUCAAAAACAAAAGCAAGAGAUAAGGACUCUUGCAAUUUGCAAAACAGUUCUCAUCAUCCUCUGCAUUUUGGUUAGUGCAGAUGGAGUGGUCUCACUGUUGUAUAGCACAGAAAACCAGAUAUAUGAUGUGUCCCCAACUAAUGCUGAUGGUUUGAGAAAUCCUAUCUCCAUCUGGAGGGCACGUAGCCAAUUGUGCAUUCCAGACUAGCUCUUAGCUCUUAGUGACCGGCUUUAUAUUAGAAAAAAAAAUAGCACAAACUGUAGAGAGGUUUUUCCCACAGCUUGAGAUAUG